rnacentral:rRNA from 1 species
GAGACUCUGUGCGCGUGCAUAUCAAUAAGCGGAGGAAAAGAAACUAACUAGGAUUCCCUCAGUAACGGCGAGUGAAGCGGGAAGAGCUCAAAUUUGAAAUCUUCAAGGUUCUACCUUGACGAAUUGUAGUUUAAAGAAGUGUUUUCUGUUGGAGUUUUGGUAAAAGUUCUUUGGAAUAGGACAUCAUAGAGGGUGAGAAUCCCGUAUUUGACCAUUAUUUCCAACUUUGUGAUACACUUUCAAAGAGUCGGAUUGUUUGGGAAUGCAGUCCGAAAUGGGUGGUAAAUUUCAUCUAAAGCUAAAUACUGGCGAGAGACCGAUAGCGAACAAGUACCGUGAGGGAAAGAUGAAAAGAACUUUGAAAAGAGAGUUAAACAGUACGUGAAAUUGUCAAAAGGGAAGCGUUUGACACCAGUGUUGUUUUCUCGAAAAUCAAUUAAAAAUGGCAGGAUUUUGUGUUGUAUUGACUUUAUCAGCUUUCUGCACUUUUUUCUUGUCUUUUUUAAUGCACUUUUCGUUUAACAAGUCAACAUCAAUUUCUUUUGCUGUAAAAGGGUCAUUGGAAGGUGGCUUUCUUUUCGGAGAAAGUGUUUAUAGCCUUUGGCCUCUGCAGUCGGAGAGAUUGAGGUCUGCAGCGUAGAUCCUUCGGGGUUAGAUACAUUUGUGCUAAGUUAUAGCCUUUCAUAGACAACUUGUUGACUAUGAUCAGUCAUGUAGCUUACUCGCUUAUGCUAUUCUACCUACGCUUAGGAUGUUGAGUCGUAGAGCACGCAG